GCGGAAGUAGUUCAGUGGUAGAACAUCACCUUGCCAUGGUGGGGGUCGCGGGUUCGAAUCUCGUCUUCCGCU
rnacentral:tRNA from 2 species